GAAUAUUGGCCAAUGGGCGAAAGCCUGAUCCAGCCAUGCCUCGUGGGUGAAGAAGGUCUUCGUAUUGUAAAGCACUCUUAGUUGGGGGGAAGGGCAGUAAGCGAAUACCUUGCUGGUUUGACGUUACCGACAGAAGAAGAACUGGCUAACUCCGUGCCCGCAGCCGCGGUAAUACAGAGGGUGCAAGCGUUAAUCGGAAUUACUGGGCGUAAAGCGAGCGGAGGUGGUUCGUUAAGUUGGAGGUGAAAUCCCAGGGCUCAACCUGGGAACUGCAUCCAAAACUGGCGAGCUAGAGUAGGGCAGAGGGUGGUGGAAUUUCCUGUGUAGCGGUGAAAUGAGUAGAUAUAGGAAGGAACACCAGUGGCGAAGGCGACCACCUGGGCUCAUACUGACACUGAGGUGCGAAAGCGUGGGGAGCAAACA
rnacentral:rRNA from 1 species